rfam:Penicillium digitatum PHI26 unplaced genomic scaffold Scaffold_8, whole genome shotgun sequence.
GCAACUUUGGCCGAGUUGGUCUAAGGCGCCAGACUCAAGAGAAUUGCCUCUUUCACUGUUUCAGUGAGUCUUCUGGUCUCGAAAGAGGCGUGGGUUCGAAUCCCACAGGUUGCA